rfam:Myotis lucifugus cont2.14037, whole genome shotgun sequence.
GGAGUUUCUCUGGUGAUGCACCCUGAGAUUGGGCUCCCUCCUCUCUGGUUCUGGGGUGCGUCACCCGAAAACUGCU